UCAAAGUGUGUGUGUGUGUGUGUGUGUGUGUGUGUGUACACACACACACACACACACACACACACACUUUAA